UUGGGGAUUACCUGGGUGUGUCUCAGGUGUUUAAAAAACACCUGAGACACACCCAGGUAAUCCCUAAAC